rnacentral:rRNA from 1 species
AACGAACGCUGGCGGCAGGCUUAACACAUGCAAGUCGAACGCCCCGCAAGGGGAGUGGCAGACGGGUGAGUAACACGUGGGAACCUUCCUAGAGGUACGGAACAACUCAGGGAAACUUGAGCUAAUACCGUAUACGCUCUUGCGAGGAAAGAUUUAUCGCCUUUAGACGGGCCCGCGUCGGAUUAGCUAGUUGGUGGGGUAACGGCCUACCAAGGCGACGAUCCGUAGCUGAUCUGAGAGGAUGAUCAGCCACACUGGGACUGAGACACGGCCCAGACUCCUACGGGAGGCAGCAGUGGGGAAUCUUGGACAAUGGGCGCAAGCCUGAUCCAGCCAUGCCGCGUGAGUGAAGAAGGCCUUCGGGUUGUAAAGCUCUUUUGUCAGGGACGAUAAUGACGGUACCUGAAGAAUAAGCCCCGGCAAACUUCGUGCCAGCCGCCGCGGUAAGAC